rnacentral:sRNA from 1 species
GGGGAAUAGUCAUGGGCUAAAUCUAAAAUCUUGUUCUAGAUGAACCCUGACCGAAGAGGGCUGUAGCAGACAACACGCUGACAGUAGGCCAACUGGAAGACGACGUGGUGGUAAAGUUAGACCUAGUCUAGCAUUGUCAUUGCCGUGGGCUAGCCAAGUGGUUUCCCUGGUAUUAAUACCGUUGAGAAAAUCUGUCUUUCAAGUUUUAGCUAAGUUAGAAUAGAUCUCUAUGCGAGGAUGUCUGACUCGACUAAAAUUACUUGCUUGUAGAAGCUAGCCUAGAUCUAUAGUCAACUACGUUCUUGAUCCUAAAUCUACAACCGAAUCAGUGUAAAUUUUAUUUUAAAUACGGUAAUAACUAUAAUAGAUCAACAAUCUAGAUCUAUUUAGAAUCAUCAGGUAGAAUGCUACUUCGUGUUCUCAAACAGCACUAGGGAUUUCUUCUUGGAUUUGUUACCUUUUAUACGUGCACCUAAUCUUGCAGAUUUGUCUGGAUCAACAAUAUAAUUUUUUUCCACAGCGUUGAAAGCAUUUUGAAUGGAUGUCUAGAUCAAUAAGGGAUGUGGAACGAGAUACAUACAAUGCAGUGAAGAUGGAAGAGCAACAUGUUGGAGAUUUAAUAAAAAAAAAACAAUUCGUAAAAUAGUUCUUCAGUCAGUCUGACGCCGGACAGACAUAACAAACAUCCGAUCAAAAGACAUUCAAUUAAAAAAAAAGAUUGCAGUCACUGAUAACAAAUUUUUCUUAAACACAGAAAUGAUCAGCUCACAUUUUUUAGAGCAACUUCAACAAAAAAAAGUUAAUAGAAUAUACGAUUGAGUUUCCAUAGAAACAUCUUUUUACUGCAUAACUGAUAAAAUCAGUAGUAAGACACAACAAUGUCAUACAAGAUGUGUAACACUGAGUGAAGAAUGAGAGUACACUGAUGAAAAAAAAGUGAUCUCACAAGACAAUGAUGAUAGAUGAUGGUGGUGACAUGAUAUUUUACCUAGAAAUCCAUGAUGAAGUUCAUCUGUGAUCAAAAAUGGGAUAGGAUUUUACUCAUAUUGUGUUAUUCAACGGUUCAACGGUCAACUCCUCCAAUUUCAAUCUGAACCAUGACAUAGAAAAUAUUUGAUACAAGUUCAACCAUUAGAAGGUAACUAUGAACAUUAUUGUUAGAGCCUUUACCUUCACUUAUUCCUUAUGAUGGCAACAAUUGCCAGCAAGACAACAACUUACAAUGUGUUUGAAAGAAAUGACAAAUGGGACUUUCAUUUGAAAAAAAAAAGGUUUUCUUAAGACUUAGAUUUGCUUUCAUGCAUAAACUUUAUCUUGAAAAAUACUUGCAAUACUCAAGUACUUAUUUAUUAUAUUAUCUUUUUUUAAUAAGAUCAUGAAAAUUCAAAAUUAUUUUUUUUACGUUCAAAUGACUGAUGCCAAUUAAAAAAAAAAAAAUUCUUUGGUAUUUCUUGCUUUAACUUUUGCUUUUAACAUUUGUACUUAUCACAUCAUUUCAUAUAAAUAAACAAUAUUAUUGUAUUUUUGUGCUGUAAGUUCUUGCUCUUCAUGUUUCUUAAGAGUUUAAUUAUGUAAGCAAUAAAAGGCAAGAAAACAACAACACAUACAACAAUCAAAAAGUCUAUUAGCUUCAGGUAAUAUAAAGAAAAAAAAAUAGUGUGGGAUUGAAAACAUGCUGUAAUAGUAUCCACCCUGGAUCCUUCAUAACUUCACAACAAAGC